rnacentral:rRNA from 1 species
CCUACGGGGGGCUGCAGUGAGGAAUAUUGGACAAUGGGUGAGAGCCUGAUCCAGCCAUCCCGCGUGAAGGACGACUGCCCUAUGGGUUGUAAACUUCUUUUGUACAGGGAUAAACCUUUCUACGUGUAGAAAGCUGAAGGUACUGUACGAAUAAGCACCGGCUAACUCCGUGCCAGCAGCCGCGGUAAUACGGAGGGUGCAAGCGUUAUCCGGAUUUAUUGGGUUUAAAGGGUCCGUAGGCGGAUCUGUAAGUCAGUGGUGAAAUCUCACAGCUU